GCUGUGGACUGGUUGUGAGGGGUGUGAUUCCAAAUCCCAGGGCUGCUGAACUACGGUAUACCGAGCAUAGUUAUUUUAUCCACAAAAUGAGAAGGGAUGACAAAUUUUCCAUAGAGAUCAAGAUGUGCACUCCUUCUAUUUAUAUAACAAUGGUUAAUGGUAGAAUAGCCUCAUGCAGGUUAUUCAGGAAGUAUUCUAGAAGAAGGCAUUGUUAUCAUAAGAGAUGUGAGCUCCAUGCCUGUUAUUGC
rnacentral:lncRNA from 1 species